UACGGGGGGGGCAAGCGUUGUUCGGAAUUACUGGGCGUAAAGGGCUCGUAGGCGGCCAACUAAGUCGGAUGUGAAAUCCCCAGGCUUAACCUGGGAACUGCAUCCGAUACUGGAUGGCUUGAAUUCGGGAGAGGGAUGCAGAAUUCCAGGUGUAGCGGUGAAAUGCGUAGAGAUCAUGAGGAAGACCAGUGGCGAAGGCGGGUCUCUGGACAGUUCCUGACACUGAGACACGAAGGCCAGGGGAGCAAACGGG
rnacentral:rRNA from 1 species